GACAGAGGGUGCAAACGUUGUUCGGAUUUACUGGGCGUAAAGCGCGUGUAGGCGGCUAAGUAAGUCGGGCGUGAAAUCCCACGGCUCAACCGUGGAAGUGCACUCGAAACUGCAUAGCUAGAGUCCUGGAGAGGAAGGUGGAAUGCUUGGUGUAGAGGUGAAAUUCGUAGAUAUCAAGCGGAACACCGGUGGCGAAGGCGGCCUUCUGGACAGUGACUGACGCUGAGACGCGAAAGCGUGGGGAGCAAACAGG
rnacentral:rRNA from 1 species